AAAUCGGCCCUUUUUAGGGCCACUAUAAUGUACAAAUCCGACUGAG
rfam:Cerapachys biroi unplaced genomic scaffold scaffold393, whole genome shotgun sequence.